rnacentral:rRNA from 1 species
CCUACGGGUGGCAGCAGUGGGGAAUAUUGCACAAUGGGCGGAAGCCUGAUCCAGCGACGCCGCGUGAGUGAAGAAGUAUUUCGGUAUGUAAAGCUCUAUCAGCAGGGACGCGACGAGACGGUACCUGACUCAGAAGCGCCGGCUAACUACGUGCCAGCAGCCGCGGUAAUACGUAGGGGGCAAGCGUUAUCCGGAAUCACUGGGUGUAAAGGGAGCGUAGACGGGUGUGCAAGCCUGAGGUGAAAGGCGGGGGCACAACCCCUGGACUGCCUUGGGAACUGUACGGCUGGAGUGCAGGAGAGGUAAGUGGAAUUCCUGGUGUAGCGGUGAAAUGCGUAGAUAUUAGGAGGAACACCAGUGGCGAAGGCGGCUUACUGGACUGUAACUGACGUUGAGGCUCGAAAGCGUGGGGAGCAAACAGGAUUAGAUACCCUAGUAGUC